rnacentral:rRNA from 1 species
AAUGGGGGAGACCCUGACGCAGCGACGUCGUGUGAGGGAAGAAGGCCUUCGGGUCGUAAACCUCUGUCAGAAGGGAAGAACCGCCGGGGGUCGAAUAGCCCCUCGGUCUGGCGGUACCUUCAAAGGAAGCGCCGGCUAACUCCGUGCCAGCAGCCGCGGUAAUACGGAGGGCGCAAGCGUUAAUCGGAAUUACUGGGCGUAAAGCGUGCGUAGGCUGUUUGAUAAGUCAGACGUGAAAUCCCUCGGCUCAACCGGGGAACUGCGUUUGAUACUGUUGGACUAGAGUCCUGGAGAGGGUGGCGGAAUUCCUGGUGUAGCAGUGAAAUCCGUAGAUAUCAGGAGGAACACCGGUGGCGAAGGCGGCCACCUGGACAGGUACUGACGCUGAGGCACGAAAGCGUGGGGAGCAAA